ensembl:rRNA 5S_rRNA 5S ribosomal RNA
GUCUACAGCCAUAUCACCCUGAACACACCCAAUCUUACCUGAUCUCGGAAGCUAAGCAGGAUCGGGCCUGGUUAGUACUUGGAUGGGAGAGUAAAUCUCUUUCCCUAGAGGCGACC